UAUUUUAUCCUUGUGUUCAUCAAUGUUAAACAAGAACAAAUGAUAUAUGAGGAGUAUUCGGCCCUGAAAUUGGUCACAGCGAAAGAGCCAAAAGAAAACUCGUUUAUUCUAUUCGUUCUUUUGCUGAUUGGUUGCACAUUCCAUUUUGCUGUAGAUUUCCACGCCAUGGAACACCAGCCUGAAUAGAUCGCAAUUCAAAGUGAACACACUCAUAAAGGCCUGUAUGAGAUUAUUUAGCAUAACCUAAAAUUAUUCUCGAAUUGUGUGAAUAUAGUUGGUCUUUAGCCAUCGAGUGAGUGGGACGUCUUUUGUCCUCACAUGAAUUUUUGUGUUGCGUCAUGCAAUUUGUUAAGGAUAAAGAGAAAGCUAAACGUGGAUAAAGAGAAAGUUGAACUAGAAUAUCACAGAAUACAGAGAAACUUAUAAAGGAUUUAGAUAAACCUGUGUUAUAUAACCCUAGGGUUGAAGACACAUAGUCGGAAUUAAUCCGACAUCCUCCAACCGGAGGAAAAGAGAAAAAAAAAAAAA